ncrna:Prochlorococcus marinus str. MIT 9211 Glutamine-II riboswitch (downstream peptide RNA)
AAGCGUUCACCCUGUUUCAACCAGGGCGCAAAUUAGAACCAGGCCAUGGAACGGGGACCUGGU